rnacentral:lncRNA from 1 species
CAUCUUCGUUGUCAUUUUUUGGUAUAUUUUUUAUUCAAUAGUAUCACAUUCUGUUUAGCAUUUUUUUAUUUUUUUUACACUUUACAAAAAUGAAGAACUUUAUAACUAGUUCAAUAUUUGUUUUUUUUGUUUUUUAUUUAUCUUUAAGCCUAAAUAAUUAUAUAGUUAAUGGAGAAUCAAAUAAAACUUCUCACCCCGCAAGACCUGGUACUACGAGAAAAAAUGUAAAAGAAAUACUCAAAUCUUUUAAAGCUCAGGGAAAAGCAAUAAUUACAGCAUAUUAUGCAUCAUGGUCAUCAUGGAUGCCAACAUCGAAGGCGGCUCUGAUUAAUCCUGAGGUUAACGUUAUAUAUAUUGCAUUCGGUAAAAUGGAUAUGGUAUAUCCUGGUUUAGAGUCAUUAUAUGCAUCAUCAUCUAAUAUUUGGGCCUUGAAAGAUCAGGUUGGUCUGGAGUAUAGAGAAAUUAGGGAAUAUUUGGAUGAUGUUAAGAAAUUAAGAACAGCACGCCCAGACGUCAUUGUUCUUUUAUCUUUAGGAGGAGAAACUUAUGCGCCAGCAUCUUUUGACGCUGCAAUGAAAGCUGUACCUAAUAUUGUUUCUAUGAUUGAUGAUUUAGGAUUUGACGGUGUUGAUUUCGAUUACGAACCUAAUGGAUCUUAUGACACUUUAAAUACUGACAGACCAACUGCCGAUUUUUACUUUAAUUAUAUAAACAAAUUUAGAGAACUUAUGUGUGAUGAUAAAAUAAUUUCACUUUCACUUUCUUCUAAUGGAGCUUUGAAUUGUAUAGGAUUGAAUCAGGAGAUAUGUAUUGAUUCAAAUAAUCCGUAUAAUAAACAAUAUUUCGAAGGUUCGUCAGUAAAAGGUCAAUUACGAAGAGCUGCAGAAAUGGUAUCAGCUGGUUCAGGUAUUUAUCUAAUGAAUAAAUUAAAAGAGAAAAUUGAUAUGAUAUUUGUUCAAACAUAUAAUUUCGGAAAUACUUCGGACGAUACAGUUAUUAUUGAAUUAUAUGACUCAUGGUACAAUUAUGGUAAAAAAUAUAAUUAUGUUAUAACCAUGGGUUUUAAUAAUAAUCAAAACAUUAGUGUUUACCCUGGAAAUAAUUUAGAAUAUGUGAAAACAAUUGGAGAUGUUAUUAAAAAAAAUAAUAAACAAAUGAAAAGAGCUGAUGGUUUGGGAUUGUGGGUAGUAGGUCCUAUAACUUUAGCUCCUGCUGAAAAUGUAAUUAAAAAUUUUGUUACCGCAUUACGUUAAACUUGUGCGUUUUUUGUGUGAAACAUAUGUUUUUUUGUAUUUGUUUACAUAAUAUCAUUUACAAUAAUAUGACUGUUAUUAUUGUUUUUUUUUUAAUAUAGCAGUUUAUUUUAUUUUAUUUUUUUUUUAUAUAUAUUUAUUAUUUUUAUAUUUAUGCUUUCUGUAAUAAAAAAAAUGUUGUAUAUAUUUAUUUUUUUUUU